CCUACGGGUGGCAGCAGUGAGGAAUAUUGGUCAAUGGACGAGAGUCUGAACCAGCCAAGUAGCGUGAAGGAUGACUGCCCUAUGGGUUGUAAACUUCUUUUAUAUGGGAAUAAAAUGUUCCACGUGUGGGAUUUUGUAUGUACCAUAUGACUAAGGAUCGGCUAACUCCGUACCAGCAGCCGCGGUAAUACGGAGGAUCCGAGCGUUAGCCGGAUUUAUUGGGUUUAAAGGGAGCGUAGGUGGAUUGUUAAGUCAGUUGUGAAAGUUUGCGGCUCAACCGUAAAAUUGCAGUUGAAACUGGCAGUCUUGAGUACAGUAGAGGUGGGCGGAAUUCGUGGUGUAGCGGUGAAAUGCUUAGAUAUCACGAAGAACUCCGAUUGCGAAGGCAGUUCACUGGACUGCAACUGACACUGAGGCUCGAAAGUGUGGGUAUCAAACAGGAUUAGAUACCCGAGUAGUC
rnacentral:rRNA from 1 species